GAUUGAACGCUGGCGGCAGGCUUAACACAUGCAAGUCGAGCGGGGAAGGGUAGCUUGCUACCUGACCUAGCGGCGGACGGGUGAGUAAUGCUUAGGAAUCUGCCUAUUAGUGGGGGACAACAUUCCGAAAGGAAUGCUAAUACCGCAUACGCCCUACGGGGGAAAGCAGGGGAUCUUCGGACCUUGCGCUAAUAGAUGAGCCUAAGUCAGAUUAGCUAGUUGGUGGGGUAAAGGCCUACCAAGGCGACGAUCUGUAGCGGGUCUGAGAGGAUGAUCCGCCACACUGGGACUGAGACACGGCCCAGACUCCUACGGGAGGCAGCAGUGGGGAAUAUUGGACAAUGGGCGAAAGCCUGAUCCAGCCAUGCCGCGUGUGUGAAGAAGGCCUUUUGGUUGUAAAGCACUUUAAGCGAGGAGGAGGCUACUUGGAUUAAUACUCUAGGAUAGUGGACGUUACUCGCAGAAUAAGCACCGGCUAACUCUGUGCCAGCAGCCGCGGUAAUACAGAGGGUGCGAGCGUUAAUCGGAUUUACUGGGCGUAAAGCGUGCGUAGGCGGCUUUUUAAGUCGGAUGUGAAAUCCCUGAGCUUAACUUAGGAAUUGCAUUCGAUACUGGGAAGCUAGAGUAUGGGAGAGGAUGGUAGAAUUCCAGGUGUAGCGGUGAAAUGCGUAGAGAUCUGGAGGAAUACCGAUGGCGAAGGCAGCCAUCUGGCCUAAUACUGACGCUGAGGUACGAAAACAUGGGGAGCAAACAGG
rnacentral:rRNA from 1 species